GUUUUAUGCUGUACAGUUUCUUUCAGGCUUUUCAGGACAAAUUAUUUCACUUGUUAGUCUGGACAUGAUUGGCAAUCAAGGCAAGACGUGAACACUGAAUGAAAUGUCAGAUGUGUUGAACUGCAGCUGCACGGAAGCGCUAAAGAGGUUUCACUCAAACAAGGAUUUAACCUGAUGAAAUCCAAAGUUGUGCCUGAUAUACACACAGGUAGCUGACGCUCACGUUGUUGUGUUGGAGGGAAAGCUGUGUGGGAGAGACUGAUGGCACAAAGUCUGGUGACAUAAGAAUUACACUUUUGCCCCCUGGAAGAAAAAAAAGUGAAAAAUUACUGUCAUUGAAGCUCCACUCCAAAAAAAUGGUGUUUUUGGUUUUUUUACAUGUUUUUGUGGCAUUUUCUGAUGAUGGAG